AGAGUUUGAUCCUGGCUCAGAGCGAACGCUGGCGGCAUGCUUAACACAUGCAAGUCGCACGGGCGGGGGUGACCCUGUCAGUGGCGGACGGGUGAGUAACGCGUAGGUAUCUGUCCAGAGGUGGGGGAUAACCGUGGGAAACUACGGCUAAUACCGCAUGACACCUGAGGGUCAAAGGCGAAAGCUGCCUGUGGAGGAGC
rnacentral:rRNA from 1 species